AGAGCAGUUAGCUGACUUACACAGAAGUGAAUGGCAAGGAACUGGGAGAUGCAGGUGUAGAACUCAGAUUUUCUAUCUACACAAUCUUAUUGAACGGUAGACACCGGUGCUCCUCCUCUUCGGGCUUGUGGACUUGGAGUAAUUACACCACCAGUUUUGCUGGAUCUCCAGCCUACAGAUGGACGAUUGUGGACUUCUCGGCCUCUGUAGCCACAAAAGAUUGAAUAGAAAUAUUCGACAUUUUAAAAAAUUCUAUGAAGACUCAAUACUUACGGCAGGAGAGAAUUUCUCCCUGGAUAGAAGGUAAUAUCUCUCAGGCAAAAGGAAAGAGACUUGGUGAUUGAUAACGUGGCUCUGUGAAGCAUGGUGCAGGG